rnacentral:rRNA from 1 species
GAAGGGGGCAAGCGUUGUUCGGAAUUACUGGGCGUAAAGGGCGCGUAGGCGGCCACUUUAGUCAGACGUGAAAGGCCUGGGCUCAACCUAGGAAUUGCGUUUGAUACUGGGUGGCUAGAGAGCGGGAGAGGAUGGUGGAAUUCCCAGUGUAGAGGUGAAAUUCGUAGAUAUUGGGAAGAACACCGGUGGCGAAGGCGGCCAUCUGGACCGUAUCUGACGCUGAGGCGCGAAAGCGUGGGGAGCAAACAGGAUUAGAUACCCUGGUAGUCCACGCUGUAAACGAUGAGUGCUGGACGUUGGUGGGCUUGCCUGCCGGUGUCGCAGCUAACGCGUUAAGCACUCCGCCUGGGGAGUACGGCCGCAAGGUUGAA